rnacentral:rRNA from 1 species
CCUACGGGAGGCAGCAGUGAGGAAUAUUGGUCAAUGGACGAGAGUCUGAACCAGCCAAGUAGCGUGAAGGAUGACUGCCCUAUGGGUUGUAAACUUCUUUUAUAAAGGAAUAAAACGAGGCACGUGUGCCUUUUUGCAUGUACUUUAUGAAUAAGGAUCGGCUAACUCCGUGCCAGCAGCCGCGGUAAUACGGAGGAUCCGAGCGUUAUCCGGAUUUAUUGGGUUUAAAGGGAGCGUAGAUGGGUUGUUAAGUCAGUUGUGAAAGUUUGGGGCUCAACCGUAAAAUUGCAAUUGAUACUGGCAGUUUUGAGUAUAUGUGAGGUAGGGGGAAUUCGGGGUGUAGGGGUGAAAGGCGUAGAUAUCAGGAGGAACCCCGAUGGCGAAGGCAGUUUACUAA